UGGCCACACAUUUCCUAAUUUCUUUUUACACAAUUUCCCCAUUUCACUGCAGACCUUUUCCCUAACAUUGGUUUAUCCCAACGUCUCUGUCAAAACAGAAAAUGGUGGGGUACCAGUCACUUGGAGUUUGAUAACACUAUUCGAAUUAAAAUCUAUUCAUACACUUCAAAGCAUUCUUUCACUAAAAUUGGGAGGUGCUCAUUGGCAGCUUGAUGUGGAGAAUUUAGGGCACAUUCCCUUUUUUUAUUCGAGACAUUAUCAAACAAAAAUGAUUGUAAGAAAUUUUUUUUUAAUUUGAUUUUUGUUUUAUGACACGAAGUAGUUAAGAGCAAGGCUUGGAUUAUUUUCCUGUGAAAUUGUUAGAGGAAGUAGAAAAUAUGUAAGUAAAUAUUAUCUCUGGAUUUAUAGCUGCACUCAUUGUCAAUUUUGGAGCUCUCAGUGAAAGAGACUGGCAGAAAGGGCAGGAUUUUAUCUCCUAAGAAUUUAACAAAAGCAAAUGCCACCUCCAUAUUUGCUGAGCUGUAAGAGGUGGUUGAUUCUUCCAGUUGAAGUGGUACUGAGAGUGCAAGUGGUGUGUGUUCCUUGACCCAUGUCAAGAAACACACGACUCACUGUUUUUCUGGGGCCCAGCCAUUAAUAGCAGUGGAGAUUCAUGCUCACAGGAUGCUGUGAAUCAACAGCACCUGCCUGGGUCCAGGUAGAAUGAGUUUAAGACCGUAUUCUUGGUCACACUCCUUCCUUCAUUCAUUCAUCUAACAGUAUUCAUUGAGCACAUAUCAUUUGCUGGGCAGUAGGUGCAGGAGACAGUGAUGGACAAGGCAUGGUGUCAUCCCCAAGGAGCUCAUGUUCUACGUUCUUCUCCUAUCCUUGUCUCUCCCUUCAAAAAGCAUGGCCUAAUGGUUAAAUGCUCAGGCUGCACAGUCAGACAGAUAAGAACUAAAACCUUCUGCUUAUCAGAUGUGUGAUGUUGGCCAAGCCAAGUCUGCCUCACUAAGACUCCCUUUCUUCAUAUACAACGUAGGUGGAAGGCAGAUCAUAGAGGGAGAGGGCUUUUCACAGUGCCUAUGGUGUGGCAGAUGCUCCCUGGAUGUUACCUACCACCACUGAAGUUUUCUAAUUGUUAUGAUUACAUUCUGACCCUAGGGUUUGAGGAAAAAAGAAAAGCAUUUGAAAUAAAUGGGAAGAAUGUGGACCAUAGAUAUGCCAGAAGGAAGAACCUGAGGCUCAUAAAGGCAGAGUGCAAGCUCAUCAGGAAAAUAGAUGGGCUGAUCCUUCACAAAUCUUGGGCCAAGUGUCUCUCUAUAUGACUUUCCCCUUCCAGGUAUCAUUUCAACCUGAUUUCUUUAAGGAGGGAAAUUAAGGUGGAAUUAAGGAGGGAAACAAAUGGUGGGACUUAACCUGAAUCUUUUACUAUCUUAAAGGGCAGCAGUGCCUGAGCCAGGGAACCCAAAGGGAGAAACAAGUAAUCUUUGUAGAAUGUAGCUGUUAUUGAGCAAUCCUCUCAAAUUUAAGCCUGCAGGAAAAGUUGCAGAAGGGCAUUUAGAUUCUACAAUAUGAGUUACCUUGAGUGCUAUCCUUGCUAAUGGCAGGUUAAAAUGCUUUUUAUUUUUUUGAGGCAGGGUCUUACUCUGUCACUCCGGCUGGAGCACAGUGGCAUGAGCAUGGCUCACUGCAGCCUUGACCUCCCAGGCUCAAGUGAUUCUCCCAUCUCAGCCUCCCAGGUAGCUGGGACCAUAGGCUCGCACCACCACACCUGGCUAAUUUUUGUAUUUUUUGUAGAGAUAGGGUUUUGUGAUGUUGUCCAGGCUGGUAAGAUACCUUAAAAAAAAAAGAAAAAGGUAGCUUACCAUAUGUAGUGCUGUCUUUUAGAUAAUCCUUGACAACACUUUGACUUAGAAUUAAAGAAAAUCAGGACUAAAACAGCAUUUCUUCACUCUUUGAAAGUGUUUGUAUAAAAUAAUCUCUCAUUUAUUUAUUUGAUGGAAGCCAUUUUAUUUUCAGUGGAAAUGAAGAUAAUU